rnacentral:rRNA from 1 species
UAGAGUUUGAUCAUGGCUCAGAACGUACGCUGGCGGCACGCCUAACACAUGCAAGUCGAACGAAGUAGCAAUACUUAGUGGCAGACGGGUGAGUAACAUGUAGGUAUCUGCCCUUUGGCCUGGAAUAACACGAGGAAACUUGUGCUAAUACCGGAUAAGUCUUUACGGAGAAAGCUUUAUGCACCAUUGGAUGAGCCUGCACUUGAUUAGUUUGUUGGUGGGGUAAUGGCCUACCAAGACUGUGAUCAAUAGCUGAUUUGAGAGGAUGAUCAGCCACAUUGGGACUGAGACACGGCCCAAACUCCUACGGGAGGCAGCAGUGGGGAAUCUUGCACAAUGGAGGAAACUCUGAUGCAGCGAUGCCGCGUGAGUGAAGAAGGCCUUUGGGUUGUAAAGCUCUUUCGUCGGGGAAGAAAAUGACUGUACCCGAAUAAGAAGGUCCGGCUAACUUCGUGCCAGCAGCCGCGGUAAUACGAAGGGACCUAGCGUAGUUCGGAAUUACUGGGCUUAAGGAGUUCGUAGGUGGUUGAAAAAGUUGGUGGUGAAAUCCCAGAGCUUAACUCUGGAACUGCCAUCAAAACUUUUCAGCUAGAGUAUGAUAGAGGAAAGCAGAAUUUCUAGUGUAGAGGUGAAAUUCGUAGAUAUUAGAAAGAAUACCAAUUGCGAAGGCAGCUUUCUGGAUCAUUACUGACACUGAGGAACGAAAGCAUGGGUAGCGAAGAGGAUUAGAUACCCUCGUAGUCCAUGCCGUAAACGAUGUGUGUUAGACGUUGGAAAUUUAUUUUCAGUGUCGCAGCGAAAGCGAUAAACACACCGCCUGGGGAGUACGACCGCAAGGUUAAAACUCAAAUGAAUUGACGGGGACCCGCACAAGUAGUGGAGCAUGUGGUUUAAUUCGAAGAUACGCGCAGAACCUUACCAACACUUGACAUGUUCGUCGCGACUCUAAGAGAUUAGAGUUUUCGGUUCGGCCGGACGAAACACAGGUGCUGCAUGGCUGUCGUCAGCUCGUGUCGUGAGAUGUUGGGUUAAGUCCCGCAACGAGCGCAACCCUCACUUUUAGUUGCCAUCAUUAAGUUGGGCACUCUGAAAGAACCGCCAGUGAUAAGCUGGAGGAAGGUGGGGAUGACGUCAAGUCCUCAUGGCCCUUACGUGUUGGGCUACACACGUGCUACAAUGGUAUCUACAAAAGGAAGCAAGACGGCGACGUUUAGCAAAUCCUUAAAAGAUACCUCAGUUCGGAUUGCACUCUGCAACUCGAGUGCAUGAAGCUGGAAUUACUAGUAAUCGUGGAUCAGCGUGCCACGGUGAAUGCGUUCCCGGGUCUUGUACACACCGCCCGUCACACCAUGGGAGUUGGUUCUACCUUAAGGCAAGGUUUAAAACCCUUGACCACGGUAUAGUCAGCGACUGGGGUGAAGUCGUAACAAGGUAACC